CUUGCCUAGUCUCCUUUUAGUUGCUGGUGUAUGCAGGGCAAUCUAUGACUUGUCACUAGUGUUAUCGCUUGGUUGCUUUAUUUUUGCCAAGCCCUCGAGUAGAACUCUCUUUGACUUUUAAAGCACCGGCUCCUCGUGAUUUGUGGUGCAUUUGGGUUCCACCUCGUCAUUCCUUCUGACAUCAUGGCAUGCAACCAGUUCAGACCCAAAAACCUGGGUGGACAAACAAAAUGCAGACCCAAAAUGCAGCUCUCUGGGACCAGGAAUGAAGACCUCUGAUCUCCUGGUCGGAAAGAGCCUUUUCCAGGUUUGAGGGACCGCUCCAAGGCUGGUGGCCAACAGGUGUAAUGGAAAUGGUCCACACUCUUCAAGCUUUUUGACAGCA